rnacentral:rRNA from 1 species
GUCGAACGGCAGCGGGGGAAAGCUUGCUUUCCUGCCGGCGAGUGGCGAACGGGUGAGUAAUACAUCGGAACGUGCCCUGUAGUGGGGGAUAACUAGUCGAAAGAUUAGCUAAUACCGCAUACGACCUGAGGGUGAAAGUGGGGGACCGUAAGGCCUCAUGCUAUAGGAGCGGCCGAUGUCUGAUUAGCUAGUUGGUGGGGUAAAGGCCUACCAAGGCGACGAUCAGUAGCUGGUCUGAGAGGACGAUCAGCCACACUGGGACUGAGACACGGCCCAGACUCCUACGGGAGGCAGCAGUGGGGAAUUUUGGACAAUGGGCGAAAGCCUGAUCCAGCAAUGCCGCGUGUGUGAAGAAGGCCUUCGGGUUGUAAAGCACUUUUGUCCGGAAAGAAAUGGCUCUGGUUAAUACCCGGAGUCGAUGACGGUACC